CCAGAUCUUUUUUCAGUUGAUCUUUUAGAGCCACUGCUAAGGCCAUUUCCAAUGAUUACUUACAUGUUUUCAUUCUUCAUUGAGAUGCUUUAAUGAAAGAAAGUCUGAAGCAGCGUGAUACACUUGUAUCUUAUUUGUCAAAUUGGUGACACUACAAGAAAAGCAGGCUUCUCCCAGUGGAAUAAAAUGAAUAUAUGUGGUGCUACAGUGACUGACACAGUCAGGAAUUUUGCUGGUUUGUCUGGGACGUCAUCAUAAUGGCUGCCAGAAUCGCAGUGUAUUGUGACAAAUCUGGCAGUGCCCAGCAGGGGA